rfam:Monoraphidium neglectum strain SAG 48.87 mitochondrion, whole genome shotgun sequence.
GACUCGGUUGCUGAGUGGUUAAAAGCGCUAGACUGUAAAUCUAGUGACAGUGUCUUCGCAGGUUCAAAUCCUGCCCGCGUCA